rnacentral:misc_RNA from 1 species
GUGAAUCAUCGAAUUUUUGAACGCAAAUUGCGCUUCCUGGUAUCCCGGGAAGUAUGCCUGUUUGAGGGUCAGUAUUAACAAAAAAUCGGGUUGGUUGCAAAUUGUGACGUUUCCGGAGGUUGGGCUAUCUUAACUUUUUUGGUUAAGGGGCUUAAAAUUGACCUUUUUUGCGCAUUUUUAGACGUACAUAUAUUUUUUUUUUAUUCGUUUAUUCUUAAUGCCAAAAUCUUAUU